rnacentral:lncRNA from 1 species
AUGAAGACUCAGAUAAGCAAGGUUCUGACUCUUGUCUUUUCACUGAUAUUCUCCUUUGCAGCAGCUGGAUAUCUCAAAUGCUUUCAGUGUGCAAAAGUUUUGAGAGAUAACACCUGUUCUCGUACUGAAACUACCUGUGAAACCGAUGGAUACUGCUAUACUGAAAGAAUAAAGAGAGGUAAUUUUAGAGACGUGCUUCAUUUUGACCAGUGGUUCCAACUUUUUUUUUAACCAAUGACUACUUUGACCAGGGACCACUCUUGCUUAGACAUAGAAAAACAAUGCCUGUGUGCAAAACAUUCUGAGCCACGUUACAAAACUUCUUGGCAUAUACUGAUACGAUAGCAUCUGAAACACUGGAAUGGGGUACAAAGAACAAGUGCAAGGUGCAUAGGUUGAAAACCCUUUUCUCCUUAUUGGAUAGAUUUCUCCUUAUUAGAUAGGUUUUUUCCUUAGAUAUUUGAGAACAACUGCUAUCUUCAGAGUGGUUAUGAUAAACUAAGGAUGGGAAACACCCUUCAGCCAACUACAGUAGAGUCUCACUUAUCCAACACUCACUUAUCCAACGUUCUGGAUUAUCCAACACAUUAUUGUAGUCAAUGUUUUCAAUAUAUCGUGAUAUUUUGGUGCUAAAUUCAUAAAUACAGUAAUUACUACAUAGCAUUACUGCGUAUAGAACUUCUUUUUCUGCCAAAUUUGUUGUCUAACAUGAUGUUUUGGUGCUGAAUUUGUAAAAUCAUAAUCUAAUUUGAUGUUUAAUAGGCUUUUCCUUAAUGCCUCCUUAUUAUCGAACAUAUUCGCUUAUCCAACAUUCUGCCGGCCCGUUUAUGUUGGAUAAGUGAGACUCUACUGUAUUGUCAGACUCCAGUUCCUAUGAACCCUAGCCAGCAUAAUCAGUAGUGAGAGAUUGUGGGAUUUGUAGUCCAACAACAUCCAGAAAAACUGGACAUUUCUGGCUGGUGGAUACUGGAAGUUCUCAUUCAAGAAAACAACUUUUCACGUGCUUUCAAAAAAAUACUGAACAAUGUGUUUAUUUCAAGGCAAUCCCCACACAGGUCUUUCAUUAUGAUCCUUUUUUCCCCCUUUUCAUUUCCAGAAGGAUUUGAUACACAUGUGUUACGAGGUUGCACAGACAGAUGCCUACAUAUAAUAUAUUACAAAAUAAAGCUGACAAGGUAUCAAUUUUGCUGUGAAAAAAAUUACUGUAACCUGUAUAACGCUUGGAUAUGAACUUUUCUCAUCUCAGCCUUAUAAACACUCAGGAUUUGUGAUUGCCUGGGUUGCUUAGAAGUAAUGCUUUCAUUCAAGAUUGUGUGUUUUCCUUCUCACAACUCACACCUUCCUAUCCCUUGGGAGGAUAUGUCAGCUCCACUCCACAAACUUGCAUCCCUCACCCAAACAAACAGGAUUCUGAAAGAUAUUUUCCUUGGACCUUCCUUCCGCUUAUACUAAUAUCUGCUUUCCUGACUGCGUGUUGAGAUGAACCAAUACAUCCCUUCUACCGUUCUUCUAACUUAUCAUGGAAUAAACUAUUUAAGGGAGGGGAUGGGAAAGAGGUACUCAUGUGUUGCUGUUGUUGUUUCAGUUAAUACUGUAAAGUUCUUUUCACCUCAAUAAAAAAAAUUGUAAUGUAAAAAAAUGGUUGAAAAGCACAUUUUUCAAGUGUUGAGAAACUCCGAUGAGAAGAAUUCUGGACUGACUGGAAUCCUCACACAUUGGGACGUAUUUUGUGCAAAAUCUGCAUAUGGCUAUUUUGUGCCUAACACAGUCUUUUCUGUGUUGUUAGAGGCUUUCAUGGCUGGAAUCACUGGGUUGCUGUGACUUUUCUGGGCUGUAUGGCCAUGUUCCAGAUGCAUUCUCUCCUGACGUUUCGCCCACAUCUAUGAUAGGCAUCCUUGGAAAUUGUGAGGACUGUAGAAACUAGGCAAGU